GACGAACGCUGGCGGCGUGCCUAAUACAUGCAAGUCGAACGCAGUGGGGACGGGUGAGUAACACGUGGGUAACCUCCCAUCAGAGGGGAUAACACUUGGAAACAGGUUCUAAACAGAUACUGAUGGAUGGACCCGCGGUGCAGUAGCUAGUUGUUGCGGUAACGGCUCACCAAGGCCAAGAUGCAUAGCCGACCUGAGAGCAGGACCCGCAACACGGGGAAUGAGACACGGCACAGACUCCUACGGGAGGCAUCAGUAGGGAAUCUUCGGCAAUGGACGAAAGACUGACCGAGCAAAGCCGCGUGAGUGAAGAAGGUUUUCGGAUCGUAAAACUCUGGUGUUAGAGAAGCGGUAGCUAACCAGAAAGCCACGGCUAACUACGUGACAGCAGUCGCGGUAAUAC
rnacentral:rRNA from 1 species